CCUACGGGUGGCAGCAGUGAGGAAUAUUGGUCAAUGGGCGCGAGCCUGAACCAGCCAAGUAGCGUGAAGGAUGACUGCCCUACGGGUUGUAAGCUUCUUUUAUAAAGGAAUAAAGUGAUGCACGUGUGCCUUUUUGUAUGUACUUUAUGAAUAAGGAUCGGCUAACUCCGUGCCAGCCGCCGCGGUACUACGGAGGCUCCGAGCGUUAUCCGGAUUUAUUGGGUUUAAAGGGAGCGUAGAUGGGUUGUUAAGUCAGUUGUGAAAGUUCGCGGCUGAACCGUAAAAUUGCAAUUGAUACUGGCAGCCUUGAGUACAGUUGAGGUAGGCGGAAUUCGUGGUGUAGCGGUGAAAUGCUUAGAGAUCACGAAGAACUCCGAGGGCGAAGGCAGCCUACUAAACUGCCACUGACAUUGAUGCUCGAAAGUGUGGGUAUCAAACAGGAUUAGAUACCCGAGUAGUC
rnacentral:rRNA from 1 species